UACGUAGGUGGCAAGCGUUAUCCGGAAUUAUUGGGCGUAAAGAGCGCGCAGGUGGUUGAUUAAGUCUGAUGUGAAAGCCCACGGCUUAACCGUGGAGGGUCAUUGGAAACUGGUCGACUUGAGUGCAGAAGAGGGAAGUGGAAUUCCAUGUGUAGCGGUGAAAUGCGUAGAGAUAUGGAGGAACACCAGUGGCGAAGGUGGCUUCCUGGUCUGUAACUGACACCGAGGCGCGAAAGCGUGGGGAGCAAACAGGAUUAGAUACCCU
rnacentral:rRNA from 1 species